rnacentral:rRNA from 1 species
GGAUUAGAUACCCUGGUAGUCCACGCCGUAAACGAUGCAUACUAGGUGUUGGCUUUCGAGCCAGUGCUGCAGUUAACGCAUUAAGUAUGCCACCUGGGGAGUACGUCGGCAACGAUGAAACUCAAAGGAAUUGACGGGGGCCCGCACAAGCGGUGGAGCAUGUGGCUUAAUUCGAUGCAACGCGAGGAACCUUACCUGGGCUAAAUCCACAGUGAUGUCUUCUGGAAACAGAAGGUCCCCUUGGGGCACUAUGGAAGGUGCUGCAUGGCUGUCGUCAGCUCGUGCCG